UUAAGUUCAGCGGGUAGUCUUACCUGAUUUGAGGUCAAAAAUGUCAAUUGUUGUCCGGUAAGGGACGGUUAGAAGCAGGUUCAUAAUAGUCUUCCAGUCCACGGCGUAGAUAAUUAUCACACCAAUAGAUAGGGGACCAAACCCACUAAUACAUUUCAGAGGAGCAGACCACAGAGUGGACCUGCAACCCCCACAUCCAA
rnacentral:misc_RNA from 1 species